UACGGGGGGUGCAAGCAUUAAUCGGAUUUAUUGGGCGUAAAGGGCGCGUAGGCGGGGAUGUAAGUCAGAUGUGAAAUCCUGGGGCUCAACCUCAGGACUGCAUUUGAAACUGUAUCUCUAGAGGGUAGGAGGAGAAAACGGAAUUCCACAAGUAGCGGUGAAAUGCGUAGAUAUGUGGAAGAACACCGGUGGCGAAGGCGGUUUUCUAUCUUAUUCCUGACGCUGAUGCGCGAAAGCAAGGGGAUCAAACAGG
rnacentral:rRNA from 1 species